UACGAAGGGGGCUAGCGUUGCUCGGAAUGACUGGGCGUAAAGGGCGCGUAGGCGGCGUGCACAGUCAGGCGUGAAAUUCCUGGGCUUAACCUGGGGGCUGCGUUUGAUACGUGUGUGCUAGAGUGGGGAAGAGGGUCGUGGAAUUCCCAGUGUAGAGGUGAAAUUCGUAGAUAUUGGGAAGAACACCGGUGGCGAAGGCGGCUCACUGGCCCGGUACUGACGCUGAGGUGCGAAAGCGUGGGGAGCAAACAGG
rnacentral:rRNA from 1 species